rnacentral:rRNA from 1 species
AAUCAACGCUGGCGGCGUGCCUAACACAUGCAAGUCGAACGCGAAAGGGGAGCAAUCCCUGAGUAGAGUGGCAAACGGGUGAGUAACACGUGGGUGACCUGCCUUCGAGUGGGGGAUAACGUCCCGAAGGGACGCUAAUACCGCAUGACAUCCUGCCCUUGGAAGGGCGGAGAUCAAAGCCGGGGAUCGCAAGACCUGGCGCUUGAAGAGGGGCCCGCGCCUGAUUAGCUAGUUGGUAGGGUAACGGCUUACCAAGGCCACGAUCAGUAUCCGGCCUGAGAGGGCGGACGGACACACUGGGACUGAGGACACGGUCCAGACACCUACGGGUGGCAGCAGUCGAGAAUUUUUCUCAAUGGGGGCAACCCUGAAGGAGCGACGCCGCGUGGAGGAUGAAGGC